rnacentral:other from 1 species
CGGUUCCUACGGUGUUCGACCGCAUGUGGGAAUAUUGGCCCCGACCCGAUGUAUAAACUCCGGGCGGCUUAGCUGGGUAACUGAUGUCAGGCCUCCAUUGGACGGCAGAUGUUGGUUCGGCGGCUGCCCACCUGAUGAGAGUCAGGGAACGAGAGGUCCAAAUCCCACGGACGGCACAUGCGGGAACCAU